rnacentral:rRNA from 1 species
UACGUAGGCAGCAAGCGUUGUUCGGAGUUACUGGGCGUAAAGGGUGCGUAGGUGGCUCUAUAAGUAUGGUGUGAAAUCUCUCGCUUAACUGGGAGGGUGCGCCGUAGACUGUGGGGCUAGAGUGUGGGAGAGGAAAGUGGAAUUCCUGGUGUAGCGGUGAAAUGCGUAGAUAUCAGGAGGAACACCGGUGGUGUAAACGGCUUUCUGGACCAUAACUGACACUGAGGCACGAAAGCGUGGGUAGCAAACAGG